AUCCGAUUCUACAGUCUCUUUAAAUACGGCACUCAUUCGGUCCCCCCCUUCAUCAGUCUAUUUCCGCUCUGUUCUAUCUUCUGCAGCCCUCGUCAAUCAGGUUCAGUUAGCUGUUUCAGAGUAAAGGAGGAUGGCUGAUACCCUUUUUCAAGAUAUAUUCACUGUUCAAGAGGUGGACCCUGGUGGCAAAAAGUUUGACAAAGUUAAUCGCAUUGUGGCUAAGAGUGAGCAGUUGGACAUGUACAUGCAUCUUGAUAUUAAUACAGACAUCUACCCAAUGCGCGUGGGUGACAAGUUCUUAAUGGGAUUAGCAUCAACUUUGAACUUGGAUGGAACACCAGAUAGUGGUUAUUUCGUGCAGGGUGGUAGGAAAUCACUUGCAGACAGAUAUGAAUACGUCAUGCAAGGGAAGCUGUACAAAAUAUCCGAGGAAAAAAAGAAACGUAGAGCGGAGAUAUUGGCUUCCUUUGGUGGACUUCUGAUGAUGUUGAGGGGGGAUCUUUCUGUUGCCUCUAAAUUUGAGCUUGAUCAGAGGUUAUUCAUUCUCAUAAGGAAGGUCUGAAAUCCAGUUGUUAUUGGAAGCUAUGAUUCCAAAUCCGUUUCUGCCUUAAUACCUCAGUAGUCCUUCACUUCCCUUGUAAACUAAGAUGAGGUGCUGCUACUUCAUUCCAAGCAUCCAGAACUUAUUCCAAUACGAGUAUGUUAUGGCUGUAUCUAUGUCUUCUGGCUCUUAAUUCAAGAACUCCUGUCCUUUGAGUUGAUGGUACAAGUUUCUUAAUGGUGAACUCAGGGAAAGGGUGGGAUUUUAAAAGUGGGGAGCGGGAAGGGAACCUGAACUCGGUUAUCAACAUUUGGAUGAGGGCCAUCGAUUCUUUAUAAAAAAUCCAACCCUCAGACAUUUCUUUUAUCAUUGAGAAUCAUCAUCAUGUAAUGUAACUUCAUCAUCAACAGUUUUGAGACCUCCACUUCCACUUUGCAUCUUCCUCUAAACUUCAAUUAUAAAAAUGUAUGGCCCAUCUUUAAGGGCAAGAA